CGGGAAUGGAUGAGUAGGGCCGCCCUCCGUGGAAACACGGUUUUGAAGAGGGCCUGCGUACACGCUGGGCCCUUCACAUCUGUAGACGGUGGAGGCCAGGAGAAAGGAUACUGUGUGCGAUGAGGUGAAGCAUGUGAGAGUGCUUUGUAACCGGAAAGUGCCUUUCAAAACUCCUGGUUUGCUGCUGGUACCUGAUAGAGAUGGAACUCCUGACCAUGGGACAUCAAGUGACUAUGUGAAUGAUCGAACUACUACUCGUCAUGAACUGGUGUUAUCUGAUUCACCAAUCAUACAACUGGAUGGGCAUAACAGCAGUUCACUCCCUACAAAACUGGGUACAUGGCCACAACUAAACUGAAUAAGCAGGUGACUCAGACUACUGUUAUUAGUACCUGCCCCUAUUCCUUCAGCACUUCUCCCUCAAUCCAUAUACACUGGCUUCAAAGGGGGUUCCCUCUGACCAAUUAAUGAAGGAAAAAAGUUUAGGUCUUGUUAAUUCACAAAAGGGUCUGCAAUGAGCUGGCAGUAGCUGGGUGUGAGUGGUCACUAUACAACACCAUCGCUCAAUAGUGGCCCUGAAUCACAACAGGAAAGGGAAAUCCUUUCCUUGAGAACUUUAGGAGACAUGGCCUGAGGUAAGGGUAUAGAGUGGUUCAUUGUGAGUGGCUUAUGAGUUGACAGGCUGGACAAGAACUUAGAACAAAUUAGAAAACUGGUUCAGUUUAUGGAGCCAACCAGGAGACAAUAACCUCCAAAUUUAGGAUGCAGACUUCAGAAUAAAGUAUUAUGCUUAAAUGCAGUAACCAAUAUGUAGUGCCAUCUUUCCCAGAAGGUAUGUAUAGUGGAGAUGAGCAUGGUCCCUCUAUUUUCUAUAUGUCUAUUUUUUUUAAAUAACUGGGAGCAUGUUUUCUGAAUUUGGUGAAAAGCAUGAAAUUACAGAUCCACAAAGCUCAGUGAAGCACAGGUAGGAAAAUUACCAAUGCGUGUUAUUGUCAAACUGACAAAACUAAGAAAAAUAUCUUAAAAGCAUUCAGAAAAAGUGCACAUCACACACAGGAGGGCUAUUAUAUGAACUUUUUAAAGUUUUUUAAUGGAAGCAUAACACACAUGUAGAAAAGUACACAAAUAUAAUUAUUUAGCACAACUUAUCACAAAGUAAAGAUAACUGUGUAAUCAAUACCCACAUCAAUAGCUACAACACUAACAUGCCCCCUUCUUAGUCAUUAUUCUUCUUUCUUCCCAAAGGUAAUCACUUUCCCAAAUUCUAACACCAAAGAUUAGGUUUGCCAAUGGUUAACUUUUAUAUAUAUUGAAUACAUAACUGUAUUCUCUUGUGUCUGGCUUCCUUUGUUUAAUAUUGUGAGGUUCAUCUCUCUGCCCCUCCCCUGCUCACUCAUCUCUCACUCAAAUAAACAAACAUUAAAAAAAAUCUUUAAAGAAAACAUUGUGAGGUUUAUCCAUGUUGUUACCUGGAUCGGUUGUUCAUUUAUUUUCAUUGUUAUACAAUGAAUGAAUAUAUUGCCAUUUACUUACCCGUUCUACCGUUGAUAGAUAUUGGCGAUGUUUCCAUUUAGGGCUAUUAUAAAGACUGAUGCUAUGAACAUUCUUUUGUAUGUCUUUUGGGGUACACAUGUAUGCAUUUUUGUUAGGUUCUCUAUUAUACCUAAAAACCCACUUGAAGAAUUUUUUGGUCCCUGAAACUUUGGACUUAGUGGUUUUGGUAGUAAACUUGGUACUAAAGAGAGGAAUGCUUCCUAAUACUUCAACGAAUUAGAAGUGGACACUGUUCACUGGCAGGUUUGGGCUUUUUCUGUCACUAACCAACAAGAGAGAAGGAAAUCACUCUACUGGCAGGGUGAGGGAUCCCUUUUAAUAGGGGGAAAUUGCGUUGCUGCUAUACAGCAGAAUAAAUAUGACUGUAUAUGGACUGUAACAGUAUUCUCUGAGAAGCUUGUUCGUAUUCUCUUAGCCAAUAGUCCAGUAAAAAACUAGGGUAACCCAAAAAGGACCUCUGCUAGGACUCAUCUUACAAGAAUGACUGUUGGGAGUACCCCACCCGGUAAGAAUCCCAUCCAGGUGAGGUACAAACAAAAAGUGAGAGAAACCAAGAAUGGAUGGUGAAUAGGGCACCUGGAUAGCUCAAUUGGUUAAGCAUCUGAUUUCAGCUCAGGUCAUGAUCUCAUGGUUUGUGGGUUUGAGCCAUCAGGCUCUGUGCUGACAGCAUGGAGCCUGCUUCAGAUUCUCUCCCUCUCUCUGCCCAGCUGUUCAUGCUCUCUCUCUGUCGCUCACUCCCUCUUUCUCUCUCUCAAAAAUAAGCAUUAAAAAAAAAAGUUAAAAAAAAAGAAUGGAUGGUGAAAGAAAACAGCUAUGUUUAUGAAUCUAGGCCUCAUGACCAACUUAAAAAAGCAGGUUUUAAGAGACUAUGAUUAUGUUUUGUAACUUCUUUUCUCCCCUACCAUAUAUGAAGAAUUCUAGGGUGCUAAUGUUUAUGGUUCCAGAGCUGAUUACACCACCCCAUGAUGAGUUUGUAACUGAUGGGAAGAGAUUGCUUAGUGGAAAAGAGUGAGUAGAUUUUGGCAUGCCUAAAUCUGGAAGUGAAAAAAGCAACAACAACAAAAAAAACAGAGCAGCAAGGAAAAUCGGUAAGCUUUACCCUGCAGCAAAAAUAUCAAUCUGUUCUUAAGGAAUUAAGUGCUUCACAAAGGUGAGUUCUCCAUGUGACUAAGGCUUCAAUUAUUCAUCGUGGACAGUAACCCAGUGCAGUUUGAAGGUCCUUGUCAUUACAGGUGGCCUAGUAAAUGUUUGACAACUAGCUCACCAGGAAAGAAAAAAAAAAAAGCUUUGAUUAUGGUGUUUGCAAAUUUCUUGGGGUAAAUAUCCCACUGUGGCUCAUUUCAGGCUACCAUAGGACAUCACAGAACACAGAAUUAGAAGAAGGUAUAUAUUAUCAAACUAUAAUAUUUCUAUAAUACAGAUACGAUCACCAUAACCACAAAAACAUGGAUAAUAGUAAAAUGAGGAAAUGAAUUUUGAAUAUUUAUUAUUCUUAUAUAUUGGAUUUUAACAUAAUUGUCAGCUUACAUAGUUAAUUCUUCAUAAAGGCUGUGUUUAACAGCCUGCAAAAUUUCUAAAAAUGUUUAAAUGUACUCAUAAAGCAGUAUAAGCCAGCUCUAGCAUAUACUGCUUUCUGCACUCUUAGUUUUGGAAGUGACUUAGGCAAUAGCUAAUAUGAGUUGAAUCCUUCAUGCCUUUUUCAUAUUCCUCCAUGUAUAUGAUACCUUGUUAUGACUUUAUUACUUUUUAAAAUCUUCUGAGCCAGCUGUAAAUGUUUAAUUUGUCACUUGUAAAUAAACACA